rnacentral:rRNA from 1 species
AAGUAUUAAAGGUCCCGCCUGCCCAGUGAAAAACUUUCAACGGCCGCGGUAUUCUAACCGUGCAAAGGUAGCGUAAUCACUUGUCUUCUAAAUAAAGACUAGUAUGAACGGCUAAAUGAGGACAAACCUGUCUCAUAUGACUAAUCAGUGAAACUGAUCUCUCAGUACAAAAGCUGAGAUAAAAACAUAAGACGAGAAGACCCCGUGGAGCUUAAAAUAAAUCACUAACCUUCACACUGUAGUCUAUUAUUUUGAGUUGGGGCGACUUCGGACUAAAAUAAAACUUCCGAGCACAGAACCACACCUUCUAAUCAAGGCCAACAAGCCAAACAAAACUGACCCGGCCUUGCCGACCAACGAACCAAGUUACCCCGGGGAUAACAGCGCUAUCUUCUUCAAGAGUCCCUAUCAAC